GCCAGCAGCCGCGGGAACACCGGCGGCCCGAGUGGUGAUCGUGAUUAUUGGGUCUAAAGGGUCCGUAGCCGGUUUGGUCAGUCCUCCGGGAAAUCUGAUAGCUCAACUAUUAGGCUUUCGGGGGAUACUGCCAGACUUGGAACCGGGAGAGGUAAGAGGUACUACAGGGGUAGGAGUGAAAUCUUGUAAUCCCUGUGGGACCACCUGUGGCGAAGGCGUCUUACCAGAACGGGUUCGACGGUGAGGGACGAAAGCUGGGGGCACGAACCGGAUUAGAUACCCGGGUAGUCCCAGCCGUAAACGAUGCUCGCUAGGUGUCAGGCAUGGCGCGACCGUGUCUGGUGCCGCAGGGAAGCCGUGAAGCGAGCCACCUGGGAAGUACGGCCGCAAGGCUGAAACCUAAAGGAAUUGGCGGGGGAGCACAACAACGGGUGGAAGCCUGCGGUUUAAUUGGACUCAACGCCGGACAACUCACCGGGGGCGACAGCAAUAUGUAGGCCAAGCUGAAGACUUUGCCUGAAUCGCUGAGGGGAGGUGCAUGG
rnacentral:rRNA from 1 species